CUUAGCCACCGUGCUUCUACACCUGCAUUACUUGCUGUUUGGGGUUUUAGGCUGGGUUUCUGUACAGCACUUUGACAUCAGCUAAUGUAAGAAGGGCUUUAAAAAUUAAUUUGAUUGAUUGAAACUCUUUUCUUUUGGGGGAACUAUCAUUUUCAAAUGUGUUCUAUUUUAGUCCAUGAUAUUGUUACAAAAUAGAUGUGUUGACUGAUUAGGGUAUGGGAAUAUAAGAGCAUCUGCUAGGCUAAAUUCAACUAGGCAUGCACAGCGCACCACAUGAUCCUCUAACCAAAGACUGGCCAAACUCGUGCUUCUAAAAGUGAAUUCAGUAAGGUGUUUUUCGGCUCAUUCUGAUCAGAAUGAGUUGUACAAAAAGGGCUUUCUUACAGACAGAAAUACCCUCCCCCUCAUCGGAUUUGGAGGUCCUGGGCUAAACAUUUUUUGUAGGUAUGGAACAUUUCUGGGAUCUUUUAUUUCAACUCAAGAAACAUGAGACCAGUGUUUUAUUUUUGUUCAGUGUAGCAUAUGUAUGUCAUUAUAGAUCGCUUUAUAUAAUCAGGUCCAUUUGAAUUUAUUUAGAAAUCUUAAAUGAUCAAGAUGUAGGCCUAUGCUUUUAGUCAUUUUCUUCAACAAAAGCCACAGCACCCUCACAUAAGCCACAGCACCCUCACAUAAGUCCUCAAUUCAAGACUUGUUUUGACCUUAACACAGCAAGCUCUUUACUGACGCAGAUAUUUAAGGAGUGCAUGGUCACUGAAGUGAUUGGCUGACUAUCUAUGGAUGCUAGACUAUAAAUUCAUCUGUCAAACAGGUAGGCUUACCUGUUAUUUCUUGAAUAUGAAUAGGUUCUUAAACAAAGCACUCUUGUUAGUAUUCUAAAGUCAAAUUAAAAUGAAGACUUUAAAUUAAUUAGGUCUUCUUAUAUUUACCUACUACCCAUGCGCUGUCCAUCUCCGCGGCUGCAAAGUAAUGUAUGUAAAUUACUCAGGGCUUUUUGAGGUCAAUAACUCUGAUAAAUAGCUUCAUUAUGGGCAACUAAACAAAUGUUUAUAUUAAAAUGAAUUAUAAUGAGGUCAUCUUCUUCACGCUCUCCCUUUCAAACGGAACAGGACAUCAGUAGGUCUAGUCCGCGUGAACAGAUAUUGCUUUUUUAAAAUAUAUAUAUUGACUGGCCUCCUGAAGUGCCACCGUACACAGCACAGUCAUUGGUUAGGCAGCCGCAGCACAAAGGAGUUUACUUCAGCAAGAGCAUUGCAGGACGGGCCUCUUGAUAGGGAACGCCUUAUCCAUUGCAGUGUGUAAUGCAGUGUAGCCUAGUUUUAUAUUCACCAUCUCAACAGCGCAAAAACUUGGGAUGGAAGUUCAUUAUUUUAGGAACAUAGCUUUGCCCUGUGCUCUUCGUGUAGCCUAGGCCUAUAGUAUAGACCAGCCUUUCUCAAACUAUUUUGUGCCAGGGAGACCCCAGAGGGUUUUUUAUAUUAGUAUUUUGUUGCAGCAAGAGAGAAUCUGGUCUCACAUAAGUAGGUAGAAUGAAAGGGGAUUCACUUCAACUCUGCCAUAUCGCGUCUGCUGCUGAACAGUCAGAAUGUGAACAGGCGCAUCUCAUUAAAACGAGCGGGCAGGCCUUGGUCACAGGACAGCUCCAAUAGUUUAUCAUCAAUAACUGGUGACAAGCUGUGAGUCUCUUCAGUGCUGGUGAACGGAUUACGUAUCCACUGCUUUCCCAGGCGUGGAUCAGAUUGCGAGGGGAAGUAAUCUUCGAAUUUGAGCAGAGUUUUGCUCAGAUGUGACCCCAAGAAUUUAUGUAUGUGAGCCAUGUCUACAUAACCCACGUCAGUCAGAGUUUAGAAUAGAGGGAACAUAUUGAAAAAUGCCUCUAUCCACUGGGUCUCUCCAGACACCUGUUUUUUUCUUGAAAUCGGCAAUUCUAUCGUUUGCUUGGAAAAUGUCACUUUAGCGUCCCUGCAUGGCUAGGUUGAGCAGCAGUCUUGUCUAUAGGCCUGCAGUUCCCGAUAAAACGGUCCCAUCGUAAUCCGUGUCCGUAUGUACUCGUUCAGGACACGCAGUUGUAUUCUGAGGCAACUCUUUGCCAGGUAAUUUUCAUAUGUGGCAGAUGUAUACAAGAAGCGGAAUUUGAAAUGUCAGUCUUCUUGUGAACUAUAAUUCUAACGCUGUGUUUUAACGUUUAUAAACAUCCAAUAAUCAUCAGUGAUGAGUGACUAUGACUGCCAGUAAAACAGACGGGGAUGGAACUGGGCCAGUGGAGCAGGCUCUGUCUCAGGACACAUCAGUGAUGACAGUGUCUCAGUGUGUUCUGGCUCUGUGGAUGCUGUUUCCUACCUGACCCCGCACCAGAGGAGGAGCAGGGGCUGAUGAGCAUGCCCAAGACCAUGAUGGGAACAAUUUUAACCUGAGGAGGUGGUACAGGAUCAUGCAGUCUUCCCUGACCACAGACAGAGACAGCAGGACAACAUAGCCAGGUGUUGCGGAGCAGCUACAGAUGAGUUUCCAGUAGCUGUUUGGUUCCCCUGCGGCCCCUACAUCCUCCGGGCCCAGCCUGCACCACCAAACCAUGGAGAGCAACCCUGCAGCCUAAAUACUGGCAUCCAGCCCUGAGGACCUGCAAGCCCAGGUUCUGUAAGAACCACUAUGCAGAGAUGGAGGCCACUCUCCUCAGGAUGUACGAAUGGCUACUGGACCGGUUCUCCUUCUUCCUGGGGGUGAAACCUGACUGUGUGUAUGAAGAAGUACUGAAGGUGGAGAGGCAUUUCCUCAGGAGCAGCAAGCCGUGGGCUAGAGCUUUAACUACGCCCACAAAGACACAGCCCAGAAAACAGCCCAACGGCAAACAAACCAGAAAAACAACUUUGUUCUCAAGGCAGCUAAAGAGAGUGACUUCAUCGGGACCAACUACUAUGGAUUGUUACUGUGCCAUAAUGCCAUGCUGACGGAUUACUUUCGUUUUUGUCUCGAUGUAACAUGAUUGAGUGUUUGCCUUUUUGUACAAAUUGCCUGUGGAUUACAAUGCGAUUACGAUGUGAAAUGAUGUUUAUGAACAUGCUGUACUUUCAGUUAUAUUAAACUAUAUUUUCUGUUAUUA